rnacentral:rRNA from 1 species
AUUGAACGCUGGCGGCAUGCCUUACACAUGCAAGUCGAACGGCAGCACGGGAGCAAUCCUGGUGGCGAGUGGCGAACGGGUGAGUAAUAUAUCGGAACGUGCCCAGUCGUGGGGGAUAACGCAGCGAAAGCUGUGCUAAUACCGCAUACGAUCUAAGGAUGAAAGCGGGGGAUCGCAAGACCUCGCGCGAUUGGAGCGGCCGAUAUCAGAUUAGCUAGUUGGUGGGGUAAAGGCCCACCAAGGCGACGAUCUGUAGCUGGUCUGAGAGGACGACCAGCCACACUGGAACUGAGACACGGCCCAGACUCCUACGGGAGGCAGCAGUGGGGAAUUUUGGACAAUGGGCGCAAGCCUGAUCCAGCAAUGCCGCGUGCAGGAAGAAGGCCUUCGGGUUGUAAACUGCUUUUGUACGGAACGAAACGGUCCUGGUUAAUACCUGGGGCUAAUGACGGUACCGUAAGAAUAAGCACCGGCUAACUACGUGCCAGCCGCCGCCGUAAGAC